UACGGAGGGUGCAAGCGUUAUCCGGAUUCACUGGGUUUAAAGGGUGUGUAGGCGGAUAGGUAAGUCCGUGGUGAAAUCCUGCAGCUUAACUGCAGAACUGCCAUGGAUACUAUUUAUCUUGAAUGUCGUGGAGGUUAGCAGAAUAUGUCAUGUAGCGGUGAAAUGCUUAGAGAUGACAUAGAAUACCCAUUGCGAAGGCAGCUAACUACGCGAAUAUUGACGCUGAUGCACGAAAGCGUGGGGAGCGAACAGG
rnacentral:rRNA from 1 species